ACCAACCAGCUAUCCUUUGUCUUUCACCCUUCUGGGAGGCCAGGCAGAAAGCCAUGCUCAAGGGCUCUUCUUUGAGCCUGGCCACUGCCCCAAGCCCAGGUUGGGGAGGCGAAGAAAGGAGCCUACACUGAGGUCCACGUGGUACCUGUGUGUGGUGUUUGGCACCUUGUCCUUUCUUCUUAGUGCUGCCUUCUUCUUUGGUUCCUCACCCACUGAACCUAUGAGACAGCCAAUGAGGUCUCUCCAGCUGGCUGGCAGGGAACAUGGCAGAGAGCAGGUCUGCCCACAGAGGAGUGAUUUGGCUAUGUGUCUGAGGAGACAAACGCACUGUGCCUCAUGCUGCUUAUGCUGCCCCAGUGAUGCCCUGGGGGCCAUUUGUCUUGGAGGGCCAGCCAGUUCUUCCAGGCUCUGCCCUUCUCUCAGGACUCAGUGGGCCUUCUCUUGCCUCCCAUGCCACCAUACAGAUCAGUCUCUGCUUCUAGUCUGGGGGCAGGGAGUGCUCAGAGAAGUGCAGCUUUUAGGGAGGGAGAGCAGACCUGUGUGAAAGUGACUCAGAGGAGACUUGAGAACCCCUUUUGAGACUUUGCUGACCUGCAGCCACUAUGAGUAUCCUGACUGGGAUAGACUGGAAGACUUGACUGGGAAGAUGGAUGAGUGGAUGGAUGGAUGAAAGAAAAGGAAAGGUGGGAGGGAGGACAAAAGCACAGAUAGGUAGUAAAUAGGUGUGUAUGGAAGGACAGACAGGCUUGGGUAAGUAUAAGGAUAGUUGGAUGGUGGGUGGGUGGAUAAUGAAGAAGAUAGAAGAAAAAGGAUGGAUGGAUGGAUGGAUGGAUGGAUGGAUGGAUGGAAACUUCCUGAAAGAUUGAUAAACUAGUGGAUGGAUAGAUGGAUGAGUGGAAUUGGAGACUCAAGGAAAGGCAUAUAUAGUCAUGUAGACAGACAGAAUGGUGGGUAGAUAAAUAGACCACUGGGUAGUCUGAAGAGGGACAAGUGACUAGAUAGCAGGUGGGAGGUACUGUGAUGGUGAUACUUGAGUUGGCCUGCAGUUCAGUAUUGGUAGUGCUACAGCAGAGUUCUUCACCUGGUAGAAUCCUAAAUCCCUGUUUUCCCAAGUGGGGACCAUGCCCAGCACAGCUGUAAUGCAAGGGCCUCCUGUAUCCACUGACCCCACCCCACUCAUCUGUGCCAUAUUGUCUGGUUGUGGCAGCCUAGACUGAUGUUUUCCUGUCUUCCUCCUAGCUGAAGAGGAGAAUGAGGCCCUUAAAUGUUUAUAGCUGCUCCUAUGGACAAUGGAUGGGCCAAACCUUCCUGAACCUGACCCCCAAGACUUACAAAGAGUCUUCUCUAUGCCCACUUUCUCACUUUCCCUACCUUCCUCCCCUGAGUUGGUGGCUCCUGCAGCUGCAUUUACCUUCAGGCCCUCCCUCCCCUCAGUACUGGGACCCACACUGCUUUCAUCCUUCAAGAGAACCCCCCCACUGGCAACAUUAGAGGCAUCUGCAUUUGAGCAGCAGCUGUUAGAAUCCACCAGAGGCAAGAUGCUCUGGUGACCUCGUGGUCACAGCAGCAGAAUGCACAGAUGGGCCAGUAGAACCUGCUCUUACAGCAACUGGCAGAGCAGAGCCAGGAGCUGGCUGAUGAUGUCAAGGCCCUCACCUGGACCCUGGAGCAACUGAUGGCUGCACACCCAGCACAGAAAGCCUUGUCCUCUAUUCCAGAUAGUGCCUCUUCUGGUAGUGUAGCCCACAGACCUGGCCAAAGGCCCUCAGGACAGCCCCCAAGGUACCUAACCAAGUCUGAAGACCUUCUGAAAGCAGACAAGAUAUAGGACUGGCCUCCAGCUCCUGCUAUGUGCUAGGCAGGAAAAAUUAGCAGAAUACUGGACCUCCAAGGGAGCCAGGAAUACUCAGAUUCCAAAGGAUGGAAGGUGCACGUAGGACAUCUUCCUGAGGUGCUCUACUGCCUUCCUGUGAGUAUGGUGACCUGGAGGGCUAAAGCCAAGGUCAACUCAAGAGUGAUACCAUUGAAGGAGGUAGAGGGAUGUUUGAGCCACGCUUCCCACUGGCAUCCCCCACUUUUGUCAUCUGGAGCUAGUGGUGUGGAGUCUAUGCAGGACACCUUCCAGCCAGGUAAGCAGGCACGGGACAGGGAAAACAGGCUCUUGCAGCUCCAGAAAUAGUAGCUCAGGUGGCUCCCUAGAAGGCCCAAGUGUGAGACAGUGUGGCUCUUGUCCUGCUUUCUAGCUGUCUACACACAGAAAACCUAGAGCCCUGUGUCGUCUUUGAUUCUGGCCCAAGAGAGCUGUGUCUAUGACUCUGGAGUUAUUUCCCUCCAAUUUUAUAUCUAUUUUAUAAGUACACAAAUAUAUAUGGAUAUAUAUUACUUGGUAUGGGAAAAGGUGCUACCUAUUAAUUUUUCUUGCAAGUUUUUUUUAACAUAAAUGCAAAAUAACAGCAUAAAAAGUGGUCCUACUGGCAAUGGUAGCGCUGACUGGUGAAUGCACUGGACUUCAUUUGCUCUGGUGGCCAUGCCUCUGCCUUUAGCCUCCUGUAGGACAUCCUGAACACCUCCUUGGCUUCAGAUCCUUCCUACCCACCAUCUCCUUUGACUGAGCACUCCCUCUGUGGGCAGCAUGAUUUCCUGUUCCUACCUGGAAGGCACAAUCUGUUGUCACAUAGUUUGGAUGACUUUUAGGAACCAGCAGGGCAGGGCAGGUAGGAGCCAGAUGUGGGAACUGGGGCCUCAGUGCCCUGGGUAUCCAGCUGACCUUGUGGAAGAAGCAGCAGGUGAGAAGCUGGUCUGAACAGGCAGUGCCUAGUCUCAGCAUUCUUGAGAUGCUGACCCAGCCAGUCGGGGCCAAAGCCAGUGUUCUUGAGAUGAAUGGAGGGAUGUUCUUGUUUUGUGAUUCAUGGGGCAGGUAGUGUAUCAGUAAUUGUGUCUGUGAAGAAACCCAGCCUUGUGGCCCCACAUUCAGCUUCUUCCAUACCAUGGCCUGGCCACCUCCAGUGCAUACCCCACAGGACACAAGUGACACUGUGUGUUCUGUACUGUGUCUCCUUAGACGGCCUUCCUCAAGAAGAUCAGUCUUUCAUCCUGCUAUGGAUCAAUCUCCAUGCCAACACCUCUGCAAAGCCUUUGUGAAUCUUCAUUCUGGAUCCUAUUUACUGAACAUAUCCAGAAUAGUGGUAUUUACCUCUCCUGUAGCAGUGAACACUUACUUGUAUUACAGUCUUAUGCUGGACACAGCCCUACACUAAUUCCAGGGUAAACCUUGAUCCUGAUCUUACACAAGUGUCUUAAUCACAGUUACACACUGAGCCUUCACCCUAGUUACAUACUGAAACCCAGUCAUGGUCACACAAUGAACCCUGUGUUUGAACCCUGACCUUGUCAUGUCAUAUCUUGAGAAACAUCCUCUGGGUUGGGCCCUGUGCUAGGUACUGAGGACACAGAAGUGAACAGGGCAGAUGAAAGGCUUCCAAGAGCUCACAGUGUGCUGCAGAAAACGCAUACUAAGCAAGUCAGUACAUAUUUAGCAAACGUUAAAACUCAGUUUAACUGCAUUCGACAGAAAACCCAGAGAAAUUUGUCUCAUAGAAAAUAGGCAUGACAGCUUUUAUAUAAAGGAAUCCUGGAGAUUGACAGUCACGGUUGGCAGGAUGGCUUUAUGGCCCCUAGAGUCUCAGAUGAAUUCAUCUCCCUUCUCCACUGUGUCUUUCAUGGUCCCAGAUGGCAUCAGGGCUCUUACCAUCACACUCAUGUUCCAGGUCGCAGGAGGCAGGGAAGGAAUGAACAAUAGCAUGCCCACUUGCCUGUAGGGUGUCUCUGCCUGAUUCUCAUCUCAACUGGCUGGAAGUUAGCUGCCCAUAAGUAAGUUACAAUAGAAACUAGGAAAUAUCCUACAUUUUAAGCCCCCCAUGGAAAUUUUGUAACUAAAAGAAAGGAGCCUAGUGGUGGGGCUAGGUACCCAACUCUCUGCCGAAUUUGAGAAGUCAGCAGAGCUGGAACUCUUGAGCCUAGAGCAGCUGUCUAAUCUGUGACCCACCUUUCCCCAUUUUUAAAGUGUUAUAAUAAAAGUAUUAAAGUUCCAUUACUUAUGUACAUAAACUAUACUGUGGUAUACAUUUUAUAUGCAGUCACACAUAAUUCCUCUUCACUCAAAGUAAAAAGGGGACAAAAAGAAAAAAAAGGUGGCCAUGGUUGGACACAGUUGGACACUCAUGGGUUGAGGAUGCUUCUCUGAAGAAAGGAUAUUCCAGUAGAGUCCUCAAAAGCAGGUCAGGUAAAAUAGCUUAUGCCUGUAAUUUUAGCACUAUGGGAGACUGAAACAUAAAGAUGAGGAGUUUGAGCCCAGCCUGGGCAACUCUACUGAGCAAGCCUCAAAAUUAAACAAACAAACAAACAAACAAAAGCUCCAGGGGUGUAAGUCAAUGUGAAGGUCCUGAGUUCAAUUCCUAGUGCUAUGACGGAGGCAGGGUCCUUAAAAGCAAGGAAAAUCUGGGGAAUAUGGUUGCACCAUGUCUGCUUUGUGGCUGAGAAGUAGAACUUUGAGUUCAGGGCAGAGCAGGUGGCACUGGUGUGUCUCCCUGAUGCCCUUGCAAGCUCUUUGCCCUCUUUCCAGGCUUAUCCAGCUGUGAGAGCAGAGAAGGAUGUGAGGGCAGGUAGGUACAGAGAAGCAGGCAAUACUGGGAAAAGCAAAUGCCUGGUCUCUGUGCUCAGUGCUGGUGGCAGGAGCAGAGCCAAGGGUGCAGGUAUGCUGCCCCCAGGCCUGGAGCUGUGGGCACUCUGAGAAGAACAGUGGAUAUUGGCUGAGUUAGAGUCAUCAGAUUUAUGUUUUUGAGGGAAGAGUGUACUGGGAAAGCUGCUGGAGUGGAGCAGCACAUCUCACAGUCUGCACUUUCUACAUUCUGUCUCCAAGGAGGGUAAAGAAACUAGAGUACAGGGCAAGUUGCUAAGAGGCUGGUAGGCUCAAUGUGAUUGUCCUAGAGCAAGGAUCUGUGGGGAUGCAUUGGGAUGCCAGGUGAGUGUCUGCCCCAACUUAGAUUUGCCCAAUAUGGAGCUGCCUGAAGGUCUUCAGGGUGAGGCCCCCUUAGGACUGACCUGGAAGGGUGGAAGCUAUGACAGUUCCCAAAGGAGUGGAGCUACUAUGUAGAAGCUAGAGAGGUUUCAGGAGGAAGGAGUGGCAGGCCAGCAGCAUCCUGUGCUGCAAGAGGACCCAACGGGCGAAAAGAGAGACAGAAUCCUGAGCUGGGGCACCAGAGGCCUCAGUGACCCAGAGGUGAUGUCCCUGUGCUCCUAUAAAGGCCUCUGGAUGUAGGGCCUUUACAGUGUGUUUCAGAUGACAGGCCAGGGUGGCCUGGAUAAUUUCCCUCAGAGUUAGAAACACCUUUCCAGGUGCCCCAUUUGGCCAGCAGUAAUACCUAGGGUGGUGGUGUGCUAGCAGAGUGAUAUUCAGGUUGGGAGAUUUCUGCAGUGGGCUGCAACCAGGUUUCUGGGGGCUAAUUCUCUGCAAUUUCCUCACAUUGUGCUGCCCUCCCAAUGAGGACAUUCCCAAUGUACCUCUUCUGUCUGACUCCAAGUGAGCAAGAUCAGGGCCCCCACCUUUGCGGGUCCUUAGAAAAGUAGAAAAUUAGACAUAUCUGAAGAAAACUCCACUACAGAACGGUUUGACAUGGAAAGAACUUGUUUUUGAGUGUUUGUAGGCUUACAAGGUGUAAGCAAGGUAGUGACGCUCUUACCUGUCACUCUUCUCUCCUCCCCGAACCAGAGUGCUGGAGUAGGAAGAAAGAGGAGGCAGAUGCCAUGAGAUUGAAGGCAGGCAUGUUUGUGAGGCCCAGUAUUCCAGCAGAAGUAUACCUUCAGGAUGAGAAUCUAGUGAAACCAAUCAGAAAUCACUGAUGGAUUAACCAUUGAAAAAAAAAAUUGGGAGAAAGAACCAUCGAUAGCCAAAAUCACGAAACUACAGUGUUAGUCACAAAACACUCCAGUCAUUGAAAAUGAUCAGACACAUAAUAUAUUUCAAUGAAAUAUUUUAAAAAAUAAAAGCAAGAAUCACAAAAAUGGGCACUAAGAGAUGAUCAGUGAUCAGGCACAUCUGGAAAGAUGCAAUAUGGCCUUUUCAAAUAAGGAACUUGAUGAAUGGGUACAUCAGUCAGAUUUCUGUCACUAUAACAAAAUUCCUGAAGCAGUUAACUUACAAAGAGAAAAAAGUUGUUUUGGUAUUAGAGUUUCCAAUUUAUGAUUAAGGGGCCCCAUGACUUUGGGCUUCUCGUAAGGCAGAAUAUCAUAAGGAGUAUAUACCAGAGCAAACCUCUCACUUUAGGCAAGAAGCAAGAAGAUACUGGGGCCCUGGAGUCCCUUUUGAGGACACACUCCCAGUGACCCAAGGCAAUAAUUUAUUUCCAUUAGUCUUCAUCUCCUUUGCCUUCUACCAGCUCACCUGCACCACCCUCAUGGCCUUGCAAGCUUUUUAUACAAGCUUCUAACACAUGGGCCUUGGGAGGGCACUAUCCAUAGUCAAUGUAUAGCAUAUGGAUUAAGCAGCAUAUUAGACCUAGCAUAUUAAGUAAGAAGGACCUAAUGGGAAUAUGUCUAAGGAAACUGCAAUCUUGCAGAGAUAGAAUAUAUACAAACUAUGGCAGAAAUUAAAAGAUGUAGAGUAGUCAGAAAUUCAGCACAUUCCUAAUGUGACUCCAUGACUACACACAUGAAGCAUGAGGGUGGCCAGAAUCACAGGAAAGAUAUGCAUCUGUACAUAUCCUGAGGAAACGGGAACUCCACAGGGAGAGGGAGGGAAGGCAAGUGGGUGGCAUUUUUCUGACAGAUCACUUUACAUCAUCAGUAAUACAAGCCAGAAAAGAGUGGUUCCUAUGAAAACAUGAGCAAAAAUCACUGAUUAUUUGUAAUUCUGAAACCAAUGAAACUUUCUUCAAGAACAAAGAUGAAUUGUAGACAUCUCAUAAAGAGAACUGCAAGAAUUUAUUGCUAAGAGACUUUCACAAAGAAUUGACUUUUGGAUGGAGGAACUAAUCCAAGAAGGAGGAUCUGUGAUACAAGAAGAGUAUCCUGCAAAUAGGUAAACAGAGGCAGGAGGACACUGUCAUCCUUGGAGCACAUGGUCUGAUGGAAGAGGCACUGUGUAGUCCCUGCAGGUGUCUCUGUGUACAAGGGUACAUUCAGCCGAGCACAGAGAAAGAAUGUUCCUGAGCAGGGCUCCUGCCAGGAUGUUGGGCAGGUGGGAUGGGCUUGGCUUGUACCUAGUGACUGUACGGUCUCUGGGCCUCAUGCUGUCCCCUUCUGUCCUGGCCCCACCCUGCCCUCUGUGUACCUUUACACUGGCUGUCUUUGUUCUGCCCCUGCUUUUUAAACGAGAAUGUCCCUGAGCCCCUGCAGCCCCAAUCAUCUUUUUAGGUCCCCACUCCUUAGGUACCCAUGGGGGUUUCCACACAGAGCCUGGGCUUUCAGACCCAGCUCUGCAGCCCAGAGGGUGAUCCCAUUCUACUCCUGGUUCUGCCCAGCUCUUGGCCUAUGCCCACUAUAGAACAUGAGUGCUCCUCAGAACAAAGGCUAGGCUGGUGAAACAGUCUAUAGGGACCCCAUCCUGGUUUUUGGGGUGUCCAGAAAAGGGCCUAAGACCAGCAUCAGGGGGCCUUCUCUUCCUGGUAGGGGAAUGAAAGGGGACCAGAGAUACAGCAAGAGCCCAGCAGGGCCUGAUGGUCUAAGCAGUCAUGUAUGUCUAGCCUGAUUGGGUCUUAGAGUGGGGAAAGUACUUGGUCAAGCCUUCCUGGGUCCCAGCUUCUGUCACACUAGGGCCUCUAGGGUCAGGAAGGCAUCUUGCUCAGAUCCUGCCCAGCCCUAAGGCAAAGCCCAGGCAGCAGUCAGCUCCCGUCUCUGCUGAGUGGCUGAAUCUAGGUGAGUAGAUCAGAGCUAAGGGUCUCACUGUCCCUGCCUCACAUGUGAAGAGUCUUGACUGCCUGCACCCUGCAGACUAAGCACCCACAGGAGCUCCCUGGUGCAGCACCUAAGCAGUAGGGCCUUGUCAGAAUCAAAGGCACUUGCUUCCCUUUUCUUUCAGGUGUGAGCACAAACAAUGUGGUCACUUACUAAAGCAUAAGGUUCAAUGGCUACUAUUGAUUAGAGGGCUCCAGGUUGCACGUGGCAGAAGAAAGGCAAUUUUCCCCUUCAGCUCAGCUCAGCAAACAUCUUCUGAGUGCCUACUGUGAGCCUAUACUUGGGCUGAGUGUAUAGCACUGUUCUCUGGCCAGGAAGAGGUCUGAGGUCUUCAUCCUCCAUUUGCUGUCCUCUUAGCAAGGAUGCAGAGAGUGGGUGCCCUAAGGACUUUGUGCCACUCAAUCUACACACCUACCCAGUGGGCUUGGAAAGCUGAGGAUUUGUCCAGGUUCAGCUGGCAACAAAGAUUCACCUGUGACGUUUGACCCCACAGCCUGGCACCUUCAGCCUGGAAGAGCAUGUUCUACACUUGGGCCACUGGCUGUGAGCGUAGGCCCUGUGAUUGGGGGACUUUGCUUUUCUCCAGCAGUAGUGAUGUGGCAUGGAACUGGGCUCAGAGCAUGGGCUUUGGCUAUAUGGAUAUGUUCACUUUUAAAAUUUUUUUAUUUUAAAAACAAAACAAGGUCACAUUAUUCACACCACUCUGCUUAGAUUUUAUUCUGUCCCAGUUUGUCUACUUGCAUUAGAUUUGAGGGCACAGACAGCUAUCCCAAAAACAUCAGGAUAUAGCACAGUAAUCAUCUUUAAUUUCCUAUUAUCUUAAUCUGGAGCCCUGUAUUAUACUGUUUUAUCAUGACUGAUCUUAGUUAAAUCUGGUUUGUUUGAUUGCUGUUUGGUAUUGACAGAUUUUAUUCAAAACUGAUAUGAUAAUACCAAGUCUGAGAGUAUAGGCAACUACACUGAAGAUGACAAAACUCUACGAUACAUAUUCUGGUUUGAUUACUGCCUGUUUUUGAAGUUCUAUACUAUAUACAAAGUUGUAUUUUUAUUAAUACUGUUAUGUACUGAUAUAUUCAAUUAUACUAUGUCUGAUGAUAUAGCCAAUUCUACUGAAGAUAACAAGAGACAACACAGGAACUAUGUGAGAACUUCUUGUACAAUGGGCUUAUAUAUCUUUUUCAUUUCAUGUGUUUAUAGGAAUAUUUUUUGUUUUGUCUUGCUUUUUGUUUCUCCCUCUAAUAUAGAAAGGAUAGAAAUACAUAUUAAGACUCAGGCAUGUGUAGCAUCUAUAAACAGUUUAUGAGAAUUGAUCUUAUGACACAUGAUGAAAUGGAGAGAUACUUUGAAGAAAAAGAGACACUAAAGUACCCAGUGCUGAUCCUGGAAUGUCAUAAUGUGAAACCCAGCAAUAGUAUUAUUCUUUGUUCAGAGUGAUAUUAGCCUGCUUGGGUUUGUUCAAUCUCAACAUAAUUGAAGAUAUGGAUAACUGCAUGUAUGUUGAAGUGUAUAGGAUUGAUAACCAUAUUUCUAAGUUUUUAUUGAAUAGUUGAACUGAACUGGUUGCAGUCUCACUGUUUGAAUCCCCACUUUAUAUGCUCCACUUUAGUAUCUUGAAUAACUAUUUGUAAGACGACAAUCUGUAAUCUUCAACUAAUGAUCUGUUUAUUUUUUCUUUGAAAAGUAUGUAUUAUUUCUACCCAUGUUCUAUUUUGUUUAGUGUUUCUUUAAAUAAAUUUUUUUUUUAAAAGUCA